ensembl:lncRNA
GAAAGCUCCAGUGGGAGAGGAGACCUUAAAAGCUCUCAUCUCUGUCUCCCUCUCACCCACCCACCCCCCACCACACACGCACAUAAAUUCAUAACUAUGUGAGUUGAUGAUGUUAACGUGACUUAUUGCAUGAUCAUUUCACCGUAUAUACGAGUAUCAAAUCAUGAGGUCAUACACCUGAGACUAAUAUAAUGAUACAUGUCACUUGUAUCUCAAUAAAAAUACAUCUCUGCACACACACACACACACACACACACACACACACACACACACAAGCUCAGUGAGUUCUCACUCAUUCUUACCCCCUCUUCAGCCUGCCAUCUGACACUUGACAGGCAAGAUCAUCCUCAUCCAUUCAUCCUAUAACCACCUCCCACCUGCUUCAGCCGAGAUGGACUUCUCACUGUGCUCACAAUCCAUUAAGCUGGCUGGGAUACCACCUGCCCGUCUGCCUCCUCUCAGGUGGUCUAGGAAGAAGAGAAGCGUAGGGACUUUGCUGGCAGUCUAGCAGUUAAGACCAUGCUUCCACUACAGGGGUCAGGGGUUCAACCCCUGGUUGGGGAACUUAGAUCCCACAAGCUACGUGGGCAAAAAGUAAAAAAUAAAUAAAAAUUUUAAAAGAGGAGAAGGGUAAAAUGAUUAAGUAAAUAACUAACAAUGUCUCUAUGAAUAUAGUGAUCAGUAACUAUACACUUUUGAAAGCAAUCAUUUGCUAUUGAUAUUGAAGUUUCCCAUUUAC